rnacentral:rRNA from 1 species
GACGAACGCUGGCGGCGUGCUUAACACAUGCAAGUCGAACGGUGAAGCCCUUCGGGGUGGAUCAGUGGCGAACGGGUGAGUAACACGUGAGCAACCUGCCCCUGGCUCUGGGACAACCACUGGAAACGGUGGCUAAUACCGGAUACGACCCGCCUCGGCAUCGAGUGUGGGUGGAAAGUUUUUCGGCUGGGGAUGGGCUCGCGGCCUAUCAGCUUGUUGGUGAGGUGAAGGCUCACCAAGGCGACGACGGGUAGCCGGCCUGAGAGGGCGACCGGCCACACUGGGACUGAGACACGGCCCAGACUCCUACGGGAGGCAGCAGUGGGGAAUAUUGCACAAUGGGCGAAAGCCUGAUGCAGCGACGCCGCGUGAGGGAUGACGGCCUUCGGGUUGUAAACCUCUUUCAGCUCCGAAGAAGCGAAAGUGACGGUAGGAGCAGAAGAAGCACCGGCCAACUACGUG